AUGAACGGAUGAAUCAGUUUUUUAGGAGGAGGCCUGGAGGACAGUGCUUCUGGAGGAGCUGGCUUGCUUAGAAGACUGGAACGAGGUGGCCCCAGCCUCUCCACACCCUUCAUCCAAGUCAACCGUGCUGGGUGGCCAAACAUCUAAGGGUCAAAUCCACCCACCCACAGUAACCAGCCGUCAUUUUUCCAAAUCUCUGACCUGGAUUAAAAGGAACUCUCUCAAUUCAAUUGAAAGGUGCAACCAGUGGUGGAAGCUGGUUUAGGCCAAACCUGAAACAGGACAUCAUCUUAAU
rnacentral:lncRNA from 1 species